UACGAAGGGGGCUAGCGUUGUUCGGAUUUACUGGGCGUAAAGCGCUCGUAGGCGGUUCGAUCAGUCAGGGGUGAAAUCCCAGAGCUCAACUCUGGAACUGCCUUUGAUACUGUCGAUCUGGAGUAUGGAAGAGGUGAGUGGAAUUCCGAGUGUAGAGGUGAAAUUCGUAGAUAUUCGGAGGAACACCAGUGGCGAAGGCGGCUCACUGGUCCAUUACUGACGCUGAGGUGCGAAAGCGUGGGGAGCAAACAGG
rnacentral:rRNA from 1 species